AGCUCAAAUUUAAAAUCUGGCGUCUUUCAGGCGUCCGAGUUGUAAUCUAUAGAGGCGUUUUCCGCGCCGGACCGCGUCCAAGUCUCUUGGAAUAGAGUAUCAAAGAGGGUGACAAUCCCGUACUUGACGCGACAACCGGUGCUCUGUGAUACGUUCUCAAUGAGUCGAGUUGUUUGGGAAUGCAGCUCUAAAUGGGUGGUAAAUUCCAUCUAAGGCUAAAUAUUGGCGAGAGACCGAUAGCGAACAAGUACCGUGAGGGAAAGAUGAAAAGCACUUUGGAAAGAGAGUUAAACAGCACGUGAAAUUGUUAAAAGGGAAACGAUUGAAGUCAGUCGUGUGAAAGGUAUUCAGCCGUCUCUGGCGGUGUAUUUGCCUUUCACGGGUCAACAUCAGUUUGAUCCGGUAGAAAAAGGCGGGAGGAAGGUGGCACCCUCGGGUGUGUUAUAGCCUCCUGUCAUAUGUGCCGGACCAGACUGAGGAACGCAGCUUGCCGCAAGGCCGGGGUUCGCCCACGUACAAGCUUAGGAUGUUGACAUAAUGGCUUUAAACGACCCGUCUUGAA
rnacentral:rRNA from 1 species